rnacentral:rRNA from 1 species
UACAGAGGUCCCAAGCGUUGUUCGGAUUCAUUGGGCGUAAAGGGUGCGUAGGUGGCGCCGUAAGUCGGGUGUGAAAUUUCGGAGCUUAACUCCGAAACUGCAUUCGAUACUGCGGUGCUUGAGGACUGGAGAGGAGACUGGAAUUUACGGUGUAGCGGUGAAAUGCGUAGAUAUCGUGAGGAAGACCAGUGGCGAAGGCGGAUCUCUGGACAGCUCCUGACGCUGAGGCGCGAAGGCUAGGGGAGCAAACGGG